rnacentral:rRNA from 1 species
UACGUAGGUGGCAAGCGUUGUCCGGAAUUAUUGGGCGUAAAGCGCGCGCAGGCGGUCCUUUAAGUCUGAUGUGAAAGCCCACGGCUCAACCGUGGAGGGUCAUUGGAAACUGGGGGACUUGAGUGCAGGAGAGAAGAGUGGAAUUCCACGUGUAGCGGUGAAAUGCGUAGAGAUGUGGAGGAACACCGGUGGCGAAGGCGGCAUCCUGGACCGGUAUUGACGCUGAGGCGCGAAAGCUAGGGGAGCAAACGGG